CCUACGGGAGGCAGCAGUGGGGAAUAUUGGACAAUGGGGGCAACCCUGAUCCAGCCAUGCCGCGUGUGUGAAGAAGGCCCUCGGGUUGUAAAGCACUUUCAGUGAGGAAGAACGCCUGGUGGUUAAUACCCAUCAGGAAAGACAUCACUCACAGAAGAAGCACCGGCUAACUCCGUGCCAGCAGCCGCGGUAAUACGGAGGGUGCGAGCGUUAAUCGGAAUUACUGGGCGUAAAGCGCGCGUAGGUGGCUUGAUAAGCCGGUUGUGAAAGCCCCGGGCUCAACCUGGGAACGGCAUCCGGAACUGUCAAGCUAGAGUGCAGGAGAGGAAGGUAGAAUUCCCGGUGUAGCGGUGAGAUGCGUAGAGAUCGGGAGGAAUACCAGUGGCGAAGGCGGCCUUCUGGACUGACACUGACACUGAGGUGCGAAAGCGUGGGUAGCAAACAGGAUUAGAUACCCCGGUAGUC
rnacentral:rRNA from 1 species